AUUGUCCGCCAGAGAACUACAAGCGAAAAACUAGAAACUCCAAGGACUUGGCGGUGCUCCACAUCAACCUAGAGGAGCCUGUCCUAUAAUCGAUACCCCACGUUAAACCUCACCAUCUUUUGCCCCUCAGCCUAUAUACCGCCGUCGUCAGCCUACCUUAUGAAAGCAAAACAGUAAGCAAAACAGUUAAUAACUAAUACGUCAGGUCAAGGUGUAGCACAUAAGAUGGCAGAGAUGGGCUACAUUUUCUACCAUAGAACACACAGAUGACACAAUGAAACACGGCCCUGAAGGUGGAUUUAGUAGUAAGAUAAAUAAGCAACAUUGUCUUAAACCUGCUCUGGAGCGCGCACACACCGCCCGUCACCCUCAUCAU
rnacentral:rRNA from 1 species